rnacentral:rRNA from 1 species
GACGAACGCUGGCGGCGUGCUUAACACAUGCAAGUCGAACGGAAAGGCCCUGCUUUUGUGGGGUGCUCGAGUGGCGAACGGGUGAGUAACACGUGAGUAACCUGCCCUUGACUUUGGGAUAACUUCAGGUAACUGGUGCUAAUACCGGAUAGGAGCUCCUGCUGCAUGGUGGGGGUUUGAAAGCUUCGGCGUUGGGGGAUGGACUCGCGGCUUAUCAGCUUGUUGGUGGGGGAGUGGCUUACCAAGGCUUUGACGGGUAGCCGGCCUGGGAGGGUGACCGGCCACAUUAGGACUGAGAUACGGCCCAGACUCCUACGGGAGGCAGCAGUGGGGAAUAUUGCAGAAUGGGCGGAAGCCUGAUGCAGCAACGCCGCGUGCGGGAUGACGGCCUUCGGGUUGUAAACCGCUUUCGCCUGUGACGAAGCGUGAGUGACGGUACUGGGUAAAGAAGCCCCGGCUAACUACGUG